UGUCAAAACAACAAAUGUUGUCAUACUAAUGCUUUGUAUACAACCAUUCAAGGUAACAUUUGUUAUUUACAUCAAUGUUACAGCUAAUCUAGAAGAACCACAGUGUAUGCCAAUCAUGCAAACUCUUGUAAACUUGUUUUACUUGUCUUUAAUGACAGACACAUUAUAGGUUAUGCUCCAGAAGAUGGAGACAUUGGAGGAGAACCAGCGAGAGGCUCUCCUAUUCAGGCGACUACAGGGCAGAAACACUGAAGAGGUGCCAGUGAUGGACCUACAGGUGGCCCAAACACAGGCUGAACUCCAAGACCUUGAGGAGCGCCUUAAGGUGCUGGAGUUGCGAAAGAGACUGACGCUGUGAUGAAGUGGAAGACGGGACUGGGAGAGAAAGCUGUGGAGCUCCUCAUAGAGGAGACACUCAAACACACCCCGGCAGCCCAUUCAAAACAAGCCAGGGCCAACAGACAAGACCUG